GAUGAACGCUGGCGGCGUGCCUAAUACAUGCAAGUCGAGCGAACGGACGAGAAGCUUGCUUCUCUGAUGUUAGCGGCGGACGGGUGAGUAACACGUGGAUAACCUACCUAUAAGACUGGGAUAACUUCGGGAAACCGGAGCUAAUACCGGAUAAUAUUUUGAACCGCAUGGUUCAAAAGUGAAAGACGGUCUUGCUGUCACUUAUAGAUGGAUCCGCGCUGCAUUAGCUAGUUGGUAAGGUAACGGCUUACCAAGGCAACGAUGCAUAGCCGACCUGAGAGGGUGAUCGGCCACACUGGAACUGAGACACGGUCCAGACUCCUACGGGAGGCAGCAGUAGGGAAUCUUCCGCAAAGGGCGAAAGCCUGACGGAGCAACGCCGCGUGAGUGAUGAAGGUCUUCGGAUCGUAAAACUCUGUUAUUAGGGAAGAACAUAUGUGUAAGUAACUGUGCACAUCUUGACGGUACCUAAUCAGAAAGCCACGGCUAAUUACGUG
rnacentral:rRNA from 1 species